GGAUCUCUUUUAGUCCCGGUUGGUAUCAUCAACCAGGACUAAAGAUAGACCGUUAGUCCCGGUUGGUAUAUAUCUAACCGUGACUAAAGUCUUUCCUAUAUAAAGCUCGGCUCCUUCCUCGAAUCCAAACUUUCUCUCCUCUCUCUUUCUUUCCCAAGCUUGAGUUGAUCCUCUAUUUUUACCAAGAUUUGUUAAGAUUGAAGGUAACCCAUCUACCCAAGUGUUUUAAAAGGCUGGAUGGGCCAUGCUUACUGAAGCUCCGCCAGUGGUCUCCCCUACCAAACAUAGUGGAACAAAAUAUAUCGCAGGUGAGGUCAUAUACAGAGCAACCUCUUGGAUCCGUACUCAGUCAUGUGGACUCCAGGGAGCUUAUGGAUACUGAAUGCAACUGAUGGGAGAUGGCCGCACGGGUUAUCUUCAACUGGUUUGAAUGGCGUGCUAGUAAUAGACUAGGUGUAUAGGCAUCGUAGUCUGAUAUUAGUUACCCCGGGUGUGGCAAAUUUUUAAGAUUUCAUUAUCUUCAAAUUUUAUUUCAGACUUACAAACCUCUCUGGACCUAUGUUGUUCCUUUGAAUUUCUUAAUAAUAUGGU